GACGAACGCUGGCGGCGUGCUUAACACAUGCAAGUCGAACGGAAAGACCCUGCUUUUGUGGGGUGCUCGAGUGGCGAACGGGUGAGUAACACGUGAGUAACCUGCCCUUGACUUUGGGAUAACUUCAGGAAACUGGGGCUAAUACCGGAUAGGAGCUCCUGCUGCAUGGUGGGGGUUGGAAAGUUUCGGCGGUUGGGGAUGGACUCGCGGCUUAUCAGCUUGUUGGUGGGGUAGUGGCUUACCAAGGCUUUGACGGGUAGCCGGCCUGAGAGGGUGACCGGCCACAUUGGGACUGAGAUACGGCCCAGACUCCUACGGGAGGCAGCAGUGGGGAAUAUUGCACAAUGGGCGGAAGCCGGAUGCAGCAACGCCGCGUGCGGGAUGACGGCCUUCGGGUGGUAAACCGCUUUCGCCUGUGACGAAGCGUGAGUGACGGUAAUGGGGAAAGAAGCACCGGCGAACUACGU
rnacentral:rRNA from 1 species